rnacentral:rRNA from 1 species
UACGUGGGGGGCAAGCGUUGUCCGGAUUUAUUGGGCGUAAAGAGCGUGUAGGCGGCCGUACAGGUCAGCUGUGAAAACUCGAGGCUCAACCUCGAGAUGUCGGUUGAAACCGUACGGCUAGAGUCCGGAAGAGGAGAGUGGAAUUCCCGGUGUAGCGGUGAAAUGCGCAGAUAUCGGGAAGAACACCCGUGGCGAAGGCGGCUCUCUGGGACGGUACUGACGCUGAGACGCGAAAGCGUGGGGAGCGAACAGG